rnacentral:rRNA from 1 species
AACGAACGCUGGCGGCAUGCCUAACACAUGCAAGUCGAACGAGACCUUCGGGUCUAGUGGCGCACGGGUGCGUAACGCGUGGGAACCUGCCCUUAGGUUCGGAAUAACUCCCCGAAAGGGGUGCUAAUACCGGAUAAUGUCUUCGGACCAAAGUUUUAUCGCCUUUGGAUGGGCCCGCGUUGGAUUAGCUAGUUGGUAGGGUAAAAGCCUACCAAGGCGACGAUCCAUAGCUGGUCUGAGAGGAUGAUCAGCCACACUGGGACUGAGACACGGCCCAGACUCCUACGGGAGGCAGCAGUGGGGAAUAUUGGACAAUGGGCGAAAGCCUGAUCCAGCAAGGCCGCGUGAGUGAUGAAGGCCUUAGGGUUGUAAAGCUCUUUUACCCGGGAUGAUAAUGACAGUACCGGGAGAAUAAGCUCCGGCUAACUCCGUG